CAGCCGUUGUUUAUUAGAUCUUAUAUCCUACUUGGAUAACUGUGGUAAUUCUAGAGCUAAUACAUGCAACAAUACCCAGACCUCACGGAAUGGGUGCACUUAUUAGACUAAAACCAAUCGGACUUCGGUCCGCCAAAUGGUGAAUCUGAAUAACUCAGCUGAUCGCAUGGUCUUUGCACCAGCGACAGAUCUUUCAAAUGUCUGUCCUAUCAACUUUCGAUGGUAGUUUACACGCCUACCAUGGUUGUUACGGGUAACGGAGAAUUUGGGUUCGACUCCGGA
rnacentral:rRNA from 1 species